CCUACGGGAGGCAGCAGUGGGGAAUUUUGGACAAUGGGCGAAAGCCUGAUCCAGCAAUGCCGCGUGCAGGACGAAGGCCUUCGGGUUGUAAACUGCUUUUGUACGGAACGAAACGGUCUCUUUUAAUACAGGGGGCUAAUGACGGUACCGUAAGAAUAAGCACCGGCUAACUACGUGCCAGCAGCCGCGGUAAUACGUAGGGUGCGAGCGUUAAUCGGAAUUACUGGGCGUAAAGCGUGCGCAGGCGGUUAUAUAAGACAGAUGUGAAAUCCCCGGGCUCAACCUGGGACCUGCAUUUGUGACUGUAUAGCUAGAGUACGGUAGAGGGGGAUGGAAUUCCGCGUGUAGCAGUGAAAUGCGUAGAUAUGCGGAGGAACACCGAUGGCGAAGGCAAUCCCCUGGACCUGUACUGACGCUCAUGCACGAAAGCGUGGGGAGCAAACAGGAUUAGAUACCCUGGUAGUCCACGCCCUAAACCGAUGUCAACUGGUUGUUGGGUCUUCACUGCUCAGUAACGAAGCUAACGCGUGAAGUUGACCGCCUGGGGGAGGUACGGCCGCGAGUAGAACGUACGAAGAAGUAGACGGCGUGAGNGCGACGACGACGACGACGGAGGGAGGAG
rnacentral:rRNA from 1 species